AGAGAUGGGUGCAUUUGCCGCUGACGAUUUGCGAGACUUUGAGAGGGUUUGGAUCGGAGUUCAGCUGCUUGUUUCCUUGUAAGUCUUCUUGUUUUUCGGGAGAGAAAGUGGAGAGAGAUGGGAGAGAGAGUGGGAGUUCUUGUGUGGAUGUGUUUGCGAAGUGGUUGGUGGCUGUGGAGGAUGAGAGGAGAGAGAGUGGUGGUGGGAAGAGGAGAGAUAUUGAGUUGGUUGUCGAGAAUGAGGAUGAGGAUGAGGAUGAUGAUGAUGAUGAUGAUGAGGAUGAAGGGAAGGUUGUGAAGAGGAGACAUGUGUUUGAUGAAAUUGAGAUUAAAGAUUAUGAUGAGGAAAGAGGGAGGGUUAGUAUUUGUAUUCCACCUAAGAAUGCUUUGUUGCUGAUGAGAUGUAGAUCUG
rnacentral:lncRNA from 1 species